rnacentral:rRNA from 1 species
UACGGGGGGGGCAAGCGUUGUUCGGAAUUACUGGGCGUAAAGGGCUCGUAGGCGGCCAACUAAGUCAGACGUGAAAUCCCUCGGCUUAACCGAGGAACUGCGUCUGAUACUGGAUGGCUUGAAUCCGGGAGAGGGAUGUGGAAUUCCAGGUGUAGCGGUGAAAUGCGUAGAUAUCUGGAGGAACACCGGUGGCGAAGGCGGCAUCCUGGACCGGUAUUGACGCUGAGGAGCGAAAGCUAGGGUAGCAAACGGG